rnacentral:rRNA from 1 species
ACGGGAGGCAGCAGUAGGGAAUAUUGCACAAUGGGGGGAACCCUGAUGCAGCAACGCCACGUGUGGGAAGAAGCAUUUCGGUGUGUAAACCACUGUCGUGAGGGAAUAAUGCUUGGCUCCGGCCAAGUUGAAUGUACCUCGAAAGGAAGCACCGGCAAGCUUCGUGCCAGCAGCCGCGGUAAUACGAGGGGUGCAAGCGUUGUUCGGAAUCACUGGGCGUAAAGGGAGCGUAGGCGAAGAUGCAAGCAGUCUGUGCAAUACCGGGGCCCAACCCCAGACCUGCAGACUGGACUGUUUCUCUUGGAUAGCUCAGGGGCUGGCGGAAUUCCUGGUGUAGCGGUGGAACGCGUAGAGAUCAGGAAGAACACCGAUGGCGAAGGCAGCCAGCUGGGGGCUUAUCGACGCUCAUGCUCGAAAGUGCGGGUAGCAAACAGGAUUAGAUACCCUGGUA